rnacentral:tRNA from 1 species
GCCCUCAUCGUCUAGAGGCCUAGGACACAUCCCUUUCACGGAUGCGACGCGGGUUCGAAUCCCGCUGGGGGUACCA